rnacentral:rRNA from 1 species
CCUACGGGUGGCAGCAGUGGGGAAUAUUGCACAAUGGGCGCAAGCCUGAUGCAGCGACGCCGCGUGAAGGAAGAAGGCUUUCGGGUUGUAAACUUCUUUUGUCAGGGAAGAGUAGAAGACGGUACCUGACGAAUAAGCCACGGCUAACUACGUGCCAGCAGCCGCGGUAAUACGUAGGUGGCAAGCGUUGUCCGGAUUUACUGGGUGUAAAGGGCGUGUAGCCGGGUUGACAAGUCAGAUGUGAAAUCCUGCGGCUUAACCGCAGAACUGCAUUUGAAACUGUUGAUCUUGAGUACUGGAGAGGCAGACGGAAUUCCUAGUGUAGCGGUGAAAUGCGUAGAUAUUAGGAGGAACACCAGUGGCGAAGGCGGUCUGCUGGACAGCAACUGACGGUGAGGCGCGAAAGCGUGGGGAGCAAACAGGAUUAGAUACCCGGGUAGUC